CAGUAGCCGCGGUAAAACGUAGGGUGCAAGCGUUAAUCGGAAUUACUGGGCGUAAAGCGUGCGCAGGCGGUUUGUUAAGACAGAUGUGAAAUCCCCGGGCUCAACCUGGGAACUGCAUUUGUGACUGGCAGGCUAGAGUAUGGCAGAGGGGGGUGGAAUUCCGCGUGUAGCAGUGAAAUGCGUAGAUAUGCUGAGGAACACCGAUGGCGAAGGCAGCCCCCUGGGCCAAUACUGACGCUCAUGCACGAAAGCGUGGGGAGCAAACAGGAUUAGAUACCCCCGUAGUCCCUGUCUCUUAUAC
rnacentral:rRNA from 1 species